rnacentral:rRNA from 1 species
GUGCAGCGCCGCGGUAAUACCGGCAGCUCGAGUGAUGUCCAAUAUUAUUGGGCCUAAAGCGUCCGUAGCUGGCCGCGCAAGUCCGUCGGGGAAUCCACCUGCCCAACAGGUGGGCGUCCGGCGGAAACUGUGUGGCUUGGAACCGGAAGGCUCAGAGGGUACGUCCGGGGUAGGAGUGAAAUCCCGUAAUCCCGGACGGACCACCGAUGGCGAAAGCAUCUCGAGAAAACGGAUCCGACAGUGAGGGACGAAAGCUAGGGUCUCGAACCGGAUUAGAAACCCCGGUAGUCC